CUGUCACUUGACAUGGGCUAGACAUCUCUAAAUCUUGAGGUAACCAAGACUCAGCUUCUUACCAUGUCAUAACUUGUAUAGUGUGGUAGGAACGAAUUUAGACGAAACCUUAUUUAAAAGGUGAAUAGCAAAUAGUAACGCAUAUCUCCAGAGAAAAGUUGGAAGAUUUGUGAAGCUCAUCAUGGAUCAGACCAUAUCC
rnacentral:lncRNA from 1 species